AGGAACGUAGCUCAGUUGGUUAGAGCACCACCUUGACAUGGUGGGGGUCGUUGGUUCGAAUCCAAUCGUUCCUACCA
rnacentral:tRNA from 1 species